rnacentral:tRNA from 1 species
AACUAUUAAGUGUUAAACAUAUGUUUUGAAAACAUAAUUAGGAGGAUUACUCCAAUAGUUU